GGUUAAGCGACUAAGCGUACACGGUGGAUGCCCUGGCAGUCAGAGGCGAUGAAGGACGUGCUAAUCUGCGAAAAGCGCCGGCGAGGUGAUAUGAACCUUUGACCCGGCGAUGUCCGAAUGGGGAAACCCAGUGUGUUCCGACACACUAUCGUUAACUGAAUACAUAGGUUAACGAGGCGAACCGGGGGAACUGAAACAUCUAAGUACCCCGAGGAAAAGAAAUCAACCGAGAUUCCCCCAGUAGCGGCGAGCGAACGGGGAGCAGCCCAGAGUCUGAAUCAGCUUGUGUGUUAGUGGAACGGUCUGGAAAGUCCGGCGAUACAGGGUGAUAGCCCCGUACACGAAAGCACACAUGCUGUGAACUCGAAGAGUAGGGCGGGACACGUGGUAUCCUGUCUGAAUAUGGGGGGACCAUCCUCCAAGGCUAAAUACUCCUGACUGACCGAUAGUGAACCAGUACCGUGAGGGAAAGGCGAAAAG
rnacentral:rRNA from 1 species